GAUACAGAUAAUGUUCCGUAAGUUCGAUAAUUCGAACGGGAAUUCGCAGUGUAUGGCGUCCUCUUAUUAUACAAACACCUACCUAUAGGUUUCUGUUUCGUGUAAAAUGUUUCUAAUUUGUUCGCUUACUAUUGUUUAACGUAUAGAACUCACCGAUAUUAACAUGGAUAAAUAAUUUUAGUUCGAAAUUUUUCGAAACUCAAGGCCCAAUAUUAAUUUGAGACGGCUGUUCGACACGGGUAG